AACGAACGCUGGCGGCAGGCCUAACACAUGCAAGUCGAGCGCGCCCUUCGGGGUGAGCGGCGGACGGGUGAGUAACGCGUGGGAACGUACCCUUUGCUACGGAAUAGCCUCGGGAAACUGAGAGUAAUACCGUAUACGCCCUUUGGGGGAAAGAUCUAUCGGCAAAGGAUCGGCCCGCGUUGGAUUAGGUAGUUGGUGGGGUAAUGGCCCACCAAGCCGACGAUCCAUAGCUGGUUUGAGAGGAUGAUCAGCCACACUGGGACUGAGACACGGCCCAGACUCCUACGGGAGGCAGCAGUGGGGAAUCUUAGACAAUGGGGGCAACCCUGAUCUAGCCAUGCCGCGUGAGUGAUGAAGGCCUUAGGGUUGUAAAGCUCUUUCAGCUGGGAAGAUAAUGACGGUACCAGCAGAAGAAGCCCCGGCUAACUCCGUG
rnacentral:rRNA from 1 species